rnacentral:rRNA from 1 species
AUUGAACGCUGGCGGAAUGCUUUACACAUGCAAGUCGAACGGUAACAGGUUAAGCUGACGAGUGGCGAACGGGUGAGUAAUAUAUCGGAACGUGCCCAGUCGUGGGGGAUAACUGCUCGAAAGAGCAGCUAAUACCGCAUACGACCUGAGGGUGAAAGCGGGGGAUCGCAAGACCUCGCGCGACUGGAGCGGCCGAUAUCAGAUUAGGUAGGUGGUGGGGUAAAGGACUACCAAGCCUACGAUCUGUAGCUGGUCUGAGAGGACGACCAGCCACACUGGGACUGAGACACGGCCCAGACUCCUACGGGAGGCAGCAGUGGGGAAUUUUGGACAAUGGACGCAAGUCUGAUCCAGCCAUGCCGCGUGCGGGAAGAAGGCCUUCGGGUUGUAAACCGCUUUUGUCAGGGAAGAAAAGGUUCUGGUUAAUACCUGGGACUCAUGACGGUACCUGAAGAAUAAGCACCGGCUAACUACGUGCCAGCAGCCGCGGUAACAC